rnacentral:rRNA from 1 species
UGGCACUAGAAGCCGAUGAAGGACGUUACUAACGACGAUAUGCUUUGGGUAGCUGUAAGUAAGCGUUGAUCCAGAGAUUUCCGAAUGGGGGAACCCAGCAUGAGUUAUGUCAUGUUAUCGACAUGUGAAUUCAUAGCAUGUCAGAAGGCAGACCCGGAGAACUGAAACAUCUUAGUACCCGGAGGAAGAGAAAGAAAAAUCGAUUCCCUGAGUAGCGGCGAGCGAAACGGGAAGAGCCCAAACCAACAAGCUUGCUUGUUGGGGUUGUAGGACACUCUAUACGGAGUUACAAAAGAACAUGUUAGACGAAUCAUCUGGAAAGAUGAAUCAAAGAAGGUAAUAAUCCUGUAGUCGAAAACAUAUUCUCUCUUGAGUGGAUCCUGAGUACGACGGAGCACGUGAAAUUCCGUCGGAAUCUGGGAGGACCAUCUCCUAAGGCUAAAUACUCUCUAGUGACCGAUAGUGAACCAGUACCGUGAGGGAAAGGUGAAAAGUACCCCGGAAGGGGAGUGAAAGAGAACUUGAAACCGUGUGCUUACAAGUAGUCAGAGCCCGUUAAUGGGUGAUGGCGUGCCUUUUGUAGAAUGAACCGGCGAGUUACGAUC